rnacentral:tRNA from 1 species
GCCGGCGUAGCUCAACUGGUAGAGCAACUGACUUGUAAUCAGUAGGUUGGGGGUUCAAGUCCCUUCGCCGGCUCCA